rnacentral:rRNA from 1 species
UAAGCGGAGGAAAAGAAACCAACAGGGAUUGCCUCAGUAACGGCGAGUGAAGCGGCAACAGCUCAAAUUUGAAAUCUGGCCCCCUCGGGGUCCGAGUUGUAAUUUGGAGAGGAUGCUUCGGGUGUGGCCCCGGUCUAAGUUCCUUGGAACAGGACGUCACAGAGGGUGAGAAUCCCGUACGUGCCCGGUGGCCGCCCCCGUGUGAAGCUCCUUCGACGAGUCGAGUUGUUUGGGAAUGCAGCUCAAAAUGGGUGGUAAAUUUCAUCUAAAGCUAAAUAUUGGCCAGAGACCGAUAGCGCACAAGUAGAGUGAUCGAAAGAUGAAAAGCACUUUGGAAAGAGAGUUAAACAGUACGUGAAAUUGUUGAAAGGGAAGCGCUGGCAACCAGACUUGCGCGGGGUCGAUCAUCCGGUGUUCGCACCGGUGCACUCGGCCCCGCGCAGGCCAGCAUCGGUCUGGGCGGCUGGAUAAAGGCCUUGGGAAUGUGGCUCUCUUCGGGGAGUGUUAUAGCCCAAGGUGCAAUGCAGCCCGCCUGGACCGAGGACCGCGCUCCGGCUAGGAUGCUGGCGUAAUGGUUGUCAGCGACCCGUCUUGAAACACGGACCAA